rnacentral:rRNA from 1 species
CAGCAGCCGCGGGAAUACAGAGGGUGCAAGCGUUAAUCGGAAUUACUGGGCGUAAAGCGCGCGUAGGUGGUUUGUUAAGUUGGAUGUGAAAGCCCCGGGCUCAACCUGGGAACUGCAUCCAAAACUGGCAAGCUAGAGUACGGUAGAGGGUGGUGGAAUUUCCUGUGUAGCGGUGAAAUGCGUAGAUAUAGGAAGGAACACCAGUGGCGAAGGCGACCACCUGGACUGAUACUGACACUGAGGUGCGAAAGCGUGGGGAGCAAACAGGAUUAGAUACCCCCGUAGUCCCUGUCUCUUAUAA